UACGGAGGAUCCAAGCGUUAUCCGGAUUUAUUGGGUUUAAAGGGUGCGCAGGCGGAAGAUUAAGUCGGCGGUGAAAUUUUGCAGCUCAACUGUAAAAGUGCCUUCGAAACUGGUUUUCUUGAGUGUGGAUGAAGUAGGCGGAAUUUGUGGUGUAGCGGUGAAAUGCAUAGAUAUCACGAGGAACUCCGAUUGCGAAGGCAGCUUACUAAACCAUAACUGACGCUCAGGCACGAAGGCGUGGGGAUCAAACAGGAUUAGAUACCCUGGUAGU
rnacentral:rRNA from 1 species